AUAACAUGAUUUAUAAACCAGUCGUAAACCCUGUCCUAACUAAUGAGGUCUGUGUAGGUAACAUGAUUUAUAAACCAGUCGUAAACCUUGUCCUAACUAAUGAGGUCUGUGUAGAUAACAUGAUUUAUAAACCAGUCGUAAACCCUGUCCUAACUAAUGAGGUCUGUGUAGAUAUGACAUAUAAACCAAUCAUAAACCUUGUCCUAACUGAUGAGGUCUGUGUAGAUAACAUGAUUUAUAAACCAGUCGUAAACCUUGUCCUAAUGAGGUCUGUGUAGAUAACAUGACUUAUAAACCAAUCAUAAACCAUGUCCUAACUGAUGAGGUCUGUUUAGAUAACAUGAUUUAUAAACCAGUCAUAAACCUUGUCCUAACUGAUGAGGUCUGUGUAGAUAACAUGACUUAUAAACCAAUCAUAAACCUUGUCCUAACUGAUGAGGUCUGUGUAGAUAACAUGACUUAUAAACCAAUCAUAAACCUUAUCCUAACUGAUGAGGUCUGUGUAGAUAACAUGACUUAUAAACCAAUCAUAAACCUUGUCCUAACUGAUGAGGUCUGUGUAGAUAACAUGACUUAUAAACCAGUCAUAAACCCUGUCCUAACUGAUGAGGUCUGUGUAGAUGACAUGACUUAUAAACCCUGUCCUAACUGAUGAGGUCUGUGUAGAUAACAUGAUGCAUAAACCCUGUCCUAACUGAUGAGGUCUGUGUAGAUGACAUGAUGCAUAAACCCUGUCCUAACUGAUGAGGUCUGUGUAGAUAACAUGACUUAUAAACCCUGUCCUAACUGAUGAGGUCUGUGUAGAUAACAUGACUUAUAAACCCUGUCCUAACUGAUGAGGUCUGUGUAGAUGACAUGACUUAUAAACCUUGUCCUAACUGAUGAGGUCUGUGUAGAUGACAUGAUGCAUAAACCCUGUCCUAACUGAUGAGGUCUGUGUAGAUGACAUGACUUAUAAACCUUGUCCUAACUGAUGAGGUCUGUGUAGAUGACAUGAUUUAUAAACCCUGUCCUAACUGAUGAGGUCUGUGUAGAUGACAUGAUGCAUAAACCCUGUCCUAACUGAUGAGGUCUGUGUAGAUAACAUGACUUAUAAACCCUGUCCUAACUGAUGAGGUCUGUGUAGAUGACAUGACUUAUAAACCCUGUCCUAACUGAUGAGGUCUGUGUAGAUGACAUGACUUAUAAACCCUGUCCUAACUGAUGAGGUCUGUGUAGAUAACAUGACUUAUAAACCCUGUCCUAACUGAUGAGGUCUGUGUAGAUGACAUGACUUAUAAACCCUGUCCUAACUGAUGAGGUCUGUGUAGAUGACAUGACUUAUAAACCCUGUCCUAACUGAUGAGGUCUGUGUAGAUGACAUGACUUAUAAACCCUGUCCUAACUGAUGAGGUCUGUGUAGAUGACAUGACUUAUAAACCCUGUCCUAACUGAUGAGGUCUGUGUAGAUAACAUGACUUAUAAACCCUGUCCUAACUGAUGAGGUCUGUGUAGAUGACAUGACUUAUAAACCCUGUCCUAACUGAUGAGGUCUGUGUAGAUAACAUGACUUAUAAACCCUGUCCUAACUGAUGAGGUCUGUGUAGAUAACAUGACUUAUAAACCCUGUCCUAACUGAUGAGGUCUGUGUAGAUAACAUGAUGCAUAAACCCUGUCCUAACUGAUGAGGUCUGUGUAGAUAACAUGACUUAUAAACCCUGUCCUAACUGAUGAGGUCUGUGUAGAUAACAUGAUGCAUAAACCCUGUCCUAACUGAUGAGGUCUGUGUAGAUAACAUGACUUAUAAACCCUGUCCUAACUGAUGAGGUCUGUGUAGGUAACAUGACUUAUAAACCAAUCAUAAACCCUGUCCUAACUGAUGAGGUCUGUGUAGAUAACAUGAUGCAUAAACCCUGUCCGAAACUGAUGAGGUCUGUGUAGAUAACAUGACUUAUAAACCCUGUCCUAACUGAUGAGGUCUGUGUAGGUAACAUGACUUAUAAACCAAUCAUAAACCCUGUCCUAACUGAUGAGGUCUGUGUAGAUGACAUGACUUAUAAACCAAUCAUAAACCCUGUCCUAACUGAUGAGGUCUGUGUAGGUAACAUGACUUAUAAACCAAUCAUAAACCCUGUCCUAACUGAUGAGGUCUGUGUAGAUGACAUGAUGCAUAAACCUUUGUUUGUUUGUUUCAGGUCAUAAGCUUCAUAUGUUUGGACAUUUUCACUUAGGGGUGUCCUCACUUUUGUUGCCAGCGGUCUGUGUGUUGAG